rnacentral:tRNA from 1 species
GCGGAUGUGGUGGAAUGGUAGACACGUUAGAUUUAGGUUCUAAUAGCGCAAGCUGUGGGGGUUCAAGUCCCUUCAUCCGUA